rnacentral:rRNA from 1 species
CCAGAGUUUUGAUCAUGGCUCAGGACGAACGCUGGCGGCGUGCUUAACACAUGCAAGUCGAACGCUGAAGCUCCAGCUUGCUGGGGUGGAUGAGUGGCGAACGGGUGAGUAAUACGUGAGUAACCUGCCCUUGACUCUGGGAUAAGCCUGGGAAACCGGGUCUAAUACUGGAUACGACGUCCCAUCGCAUGGUGGGGUGUGGAAAGGGUUUUACUGGUUUUGGAUGGGCUCACGGCCUAUCAGCUUGUUGGUGGGGUAAUGGCCUACCAAGGCGACGACGGGUAGCCGGCCUGAGAGGGUGACCGGCCACACUGGGACUGAGACACGGCCCAGACUCCUACGGGAGGCAGCAGUGGGGAAUAUUGCACAAUGGGCGCAAGCCUGAUGCAGCGACGCCGCGUGAGGGAUGACGGCCUUCGGGUUGUAAACCUCUUUCAGCAGGGAAGAAGCCACAAGUGACGGUACCUGCAGAAGAAGCGCCGGCUAACUACGUGCCAGCAGCCGCGGUAAUACGUAGGGCGCAAGCGUUGUCCGGAAUUAUUGGGCGUAAAGAGCUCGUAGGCGGUUUGUCGCGUCUGCUGUGAAAGCCCGGGGCUCAACCCCGGGUCUGCAGUGGGUACGGGCA